rnacentral:misc_RNA from 1 species
GGCCGUUCUGUUUUAUCGCCAGACUGCCGCCGGUCACAUCGAUGGUCUCGCCGAUUUUCCGGGGAUCGAGCUUCUCACCCGGCGCGAGCGGGAUGUGCUGGGGCAGGUCGCCCACGGCGCAUCGAACAAGGAGGCGGGACGGCGGCUCGGCACGGCUGGGCAUCAGCCCGCGUACCAUCGAGGUUCAUCGCGCGCGUAUCAUGGAUAAACUGGG